rnacentral:rRNA from 1 species
AGGACGAACGCUGGCGGUGUGCUUCACACAUGCAAGUCGAACGGGGUAGCAAUACCCAGUGGCGGACGGGUGAGUAACACGUGGGAAUCUGCCUUUAGAUGGGGGAUAACUGACCGAAAGGUUAGCUAAUACCGCAUAUGCCGCAAGGUAAAAGGAGCAAUCCGUCUGAAGAUGAGCCCGCGUCCGAUUAGCUAGUUGGUAGGGUAAAAGCCUACCAAGGCUACGAUCGGUAGCUGGUCUGAGAGGAUGAUCAGCCACAAUGGGACUGAGACACGGCCCAUACUCCUACGGGAGGCAGCAGUGGGGAAUUUGUGCAAUGGGGGAAACCCUGACACAGCGACACCGCGUGAGCGAAGAAGCCCCUUGGGGUGUAAAGCUCUGUCGACAGGGACGAAAAAAAUGACGGUACCUGUAGAGGAAGCAUCGGCUAACUACGCGCCAGCAGCCGC